AAAAAAUAAAAAUUUUUGUUUUUUCUAAAAAUUCUAGCGUUAACUUCAAAAUUUCUUGUUGUAUCAAUCUUGGUCGUAUUGGACACUAGGACACUUGGACAUUAAAAUGUAGCAUCCAAAUAAUUAUAACAAUUAAGUUUGUUAUAUAUAUUAUAUUUCUGUUGAUUUGAACACAUCUCACAUCAUCACAAAUUUUAAAAAUAAGGAGGCACCAUUCUAUCCAUCCGUGCCAAAAGAAUAGGAAAACUAUACCUCAAUUUUAAACCAUACAUAAACUUUCAUAUAAACUAAGUUAAGAAAGAGAUUCUUUCUCUAUAAAAUUUCUUUACACUGGAUAAAAAUUUCCACAUAUUAUUAAAAUGGAGUGAAGUUAAGGAUACGUGUUGUUUCAUCAUUUAUUAUAAUAUUAGAAAGAUUAACUAAAACGAAAACUAUUAGAACUAUUAUGCUUUUAACCUUAUCAAAAUCUUAUAUCCACUUCUUUUUAAACUUUUUUCAAGGAGGCACCAUCCAAUCCAUCCGUGGCAAAAAAAUGUGUUAGGAAAACUAUGUCUCAAUUUUAAACCAUAUAUAAACUUUCAUAUAAACUAAGUUAAGAAAGAGCAUUUCGAUUUAAGAUUCUUUCUCUAUAAAAUUUCUUUACACUGGAUAAAAAUUUCCACAUAUUAUUAAAAUGGAGUGAAGUUAAGGAUACGUGUUGUUUCAUCAUUUAUUAUAAUAUUAGAAAGACUAACUAAAACGAAAACUAUUAGAACUAAUAUGCUUUUAACCUUAUCACAAUCUUAUAUCCACUUCUUUUUAAACUUUUUUCAAGGAGGCACCAUCCAAUCCAUCCGUGGCAAAAAAAUAUGUUAGGAAAACUAUGUCUCAAUUUUAAACCAUAUAUAAACUUUCAUAUAAACUAAGUUAAGAAAGAGCAUUUCGAUUUAAGAUUCUUUCUCUAUAAAAUUUCUUUACACUGGAUAAAAAUUUCCACAUAUUAUUAAAAUGGAGUAAAGUUAAGGAUACGUGUUGUUUCAUCAUUUAUUAUAAUAUUAGAAAGACUAACUAAAACGAAAACUAUUAGAACUAUUAUGCUUUUAACCUUAUCAAAAUCUUAUAUCCACUUCUUUUUAAACUUUUUUCAAGGAGGCACCAUCCAAUCCAUCCGUGGCAAAAAAAUAUGUUAGGAAAACUAUGUCUCAAUUUUAAACCAUAUAUAAACUUUCAUAUAAACUAAGUUAAGAAAGAGCAUUUCGAUUUAAGAUUCUUUCUCUAUAAAAUUUCUUUACACUGGAUAAAAAUUUCCACAUAUUAAAAUGGAGUGAAGUUAAGGAUACGUGUUGUUUCAUUAUACACUACUAUAGAUAAUGAUUCCUUCGACUUCGUAAAUUUUUAUAAUACACAUUUCAUUUAUAAAAAUCUUACUAUAUAUCCUUAUCUUAUGCAAGUUGCUUUGGUUAACAGUACUAUAUUAAUGUAUAAUAUUAAUUAUUUAAUAAAAGACCAGACUUUUUUUGAAGAGAGUUUCUCUUUUGGUUAUCAACGGAUAUAAUGAAUGAUUGACUGGUGGAAGGAAGCACAUACAAUAUUUAAAAGCAAUUACAAUGAAAGCAUAUACCUAUAUACAUGUAUAUAUACAUGUGUGAAAAUUUAUAGUACAAAUCUAUAAUGAAAAAAUAACCCCAAAAGAAUUACUUUAAUUAAAACUCUCAAGUGGAUCAAAGUAAAUCUGUUGAAAUCAAUUAAGCAUAUCACUUAAGAUAUGUAUACCUGAUGAUUUUACAGGAUUUAUUUAAGCGAUCUUUUAUGGGAUCAUUACUUAAUUUGUGUUAAUUAACUAAUUAAUAUUAGUUUCAUUUGAUCAUGAUAAAAACUUUCUGAAAAAUAAAUUUA